AUGAUGGGAGUGUUUUACCCUCCUGUGCGGCCGGGUUCACAGGACACGAUGGGAGCUCCGGAGGGCAUCGUGGCUCCGUUCUCCUCCUUCCCUCCCCCUCCUCCUCCUCCUCCUCAGAACGGCCUGGCGCUGGAGUUCGGGGGCGGCAGCGUUUACUCCGCAGGGGGCCAAACGGAGGCCCCGGCAGGAGUCAGCAGCACCCCCUCCUCUAACCCCAGCGCUCAAAUGUCAGACAGCUCUACUCAGGCAGAGCUUCAGUGUGUUUCUGCCGGCGGUUCCAGCAGCAGUGAGUCCUCCGAGCCCAAAGGAACCCCGAAGCGUCUCCACGUCUCCAACAUCCCCUUCCGCUUCAGGGACCCAGACCUGCGGCAGAUGUUCGGGGUACUACAGGCCUCACAGGCUUCAGGGUUUAUUCCUCAGAUGAUUUUAGAAACAACAUGAUGAAAUACUGUGGUGUGUUUGAGGGCCAGUUCUGCCCCCUGGUGCCCGAGGUUGUAACGACACGUUAAAGUGAUUGUUGUAAAUGCAGCUCUUCUUUUAUAAUGACCAGUUUGUAGGCAUUACACAAACAGCUGUGGGUUUAUGUUGAGCAUUCUCUCUCUCUCUGUGUGUGUGUGUGUGUGUGUGUGUGUGUGUGUGUGUGUGUGUGUGUGUGUGUGUUUUAGCGAGCUCCCUCACCUGCCCCAGGAUCUGCCUGCGCCGCAGCCCAACAGACACCCGCUCCUGGGCCUUCAGAGCACGGAUCUGCUGCUGGGACCGAGCUGCCCGAUCCCUGGCUUAGACCUGGACCUCCAGAGCUGCUGCGGGCUGAUAGAGCCCUCUAGUGGAGAUUACAUGCCAGUGAAAAACGUGCAGAGUUAGUGUUGAUGGCCAGAACGUUCACUCGGCAGUGGAUUUAACAGUAUCAGAGCGAAGCACGCUUUGGGCUACACAGAAAUUGACAAGCUCAAUCUGUAACUGCAGUGAAAAUAAGGAAGCUUAAGAGCGAGUUUUGCGCUGUCUGUCGCGGCACUGAAGCGUGAGCAUUCGUUCUGUCAUCUUCUGCUCACCCUCAUGACGGAGAGGAUUCUGCUGGAGUGUCUGAGCUGCUCUUGUCCAUUCAGUGAAGCACAGCUGUACAGAAAGAGUUUCAGUGUACAACUGUUAUGACCCUGGAGCACAAAACUAGUCAUAAGGGUCAAUUUUUUCAAAAUUGAGAUGUAUACACCAUCUGAAAACUAAAUAAAUAAUCUCUCCAUUGAUGUAUGGUUUGUUAG
ensembl:lncRNA